AUUCCUAUAGCUUAACUAGAGCAUAACACUGAAGAUGUUAGGGUGAAUUCUUUUCUAGGGGUA
rnacentral:tRNA from 1 species